GUAGGUGGCAAGCGUUGUCCGGAAUUAUUGGGCGUAAAGCGCGCGCAGGCGGUUCUUUAAGUCUGAUGUGAAAGCCCACGGCUCAACCGUGGAGGGUCAUUGGAAACUGGAGAACUUGAGUACAGAAGAGGAAAGCGGAAUUCCACGUGUAGCGGUGAAAUGCGUAGAGAUGUGGAGGAACACCAGUGGCGAAGGCGGCUUUCUGGUCUGUAACUGACGCUGAGACGCGAAAGCGUGGGGAGCAAACAGGGAUUAGAUACCCUGGUAGUCCACGCCGUAAACGAUGAGUGCUAAGUGUUAGGGGGUUUCCCGCCCCCUUAGUGCUGCAGCUAACGCAUUAAGCACUCCGCCUGGGGAGUACGGCCGCAAGGCUG
rnacentral:rRNA from 1 species